UAUUCCAGCAUAGCUCGCACAUAGUUAGCAUGACCCCUCUCAGCUAACUGACAAAGAACGUCCAGGAGGUCAAUACACAACCAUGCUUGAUUUGCACAUCCAGCUUGAAGCUUGUGUCCAUUAUCUGCAUCCAUGUACGCCUGCCAUAGUAGUUUAUUAAAAAUUACCACUGAGAGAUCAUUCUGUCAAUUAAUUAUGAAUGAAAGCAGAAAGUAGCAAGCAGAGAUCUC
rnacentral:lncRNA from 1 species